GCGGAGGGUUGGAUGAUCGCGGGUCGGGGUCUAUCGAUCCGAGGAAAGUCCGGACUCCACAAGGCAAUGGUGCCGGGUAACGCCCGGCUGGGGUAACCCAAGGGAAAGCGCCACAGAGAACAGACCGCCAUGCCUCGGCAUGGUCAGGGUGAAACGGUGGGGUAAGAGCCCACCGCGGGACUGGCAACAGGACCGGCACGGCAAGCCCCACCAGGAGCAA
rnacentral:RNase_P_RNA from 1 species